CAUAUUUAAAUCCCUAAUUGCUCUAGAUAUUUUCUGAGCUCAGCCUCCUCUCUACUCCCCCCCCCGCUCCCUACCUCCAUCAGACGCACACGCUUCAUGCGUACCGACGGAAAUCCUCUGAAUCAGCUCGCUUAUUCUCUCUUACAUGCUUUAUUUCCGCUUGUUUUCCCCCGAUCGUCCUAUUGAUUCCGAUUCACAAAUUCACCCCUGGUAAUUGCGAUUCUCUCUGAGAAGCUUGUUUUGAUCAGCAUUCAUGAUCCGAGUUCGGCUGCUUCAUUUGUUACAACUUUCAUGGCUGCAUGACUUGAAACCGUGUAUGGUUGAAUUCACUUUCAUGGAACCUCUUGAGGUUUCUGCUUCAUGUUUCCGUACUCCGCAUCUGUUUGGUUCCCGAGAAGCUGUGGAAAAAAUAAAAGAAGAGAGAUAAGAAAACGAAGCCGGUUAUCAUAAGCUAGUCUUCCUUACGGGAAUAGUGGGCCACUUUUUGGACAAUGCGCGUUCGGAUCUCAGGUUGAACAUAAAUACAGACUUUGUUCCCUAAGACAUAUAUGCUCGGACGGCUUAGUCCCUGAAAUUUCUCUCUACACAAGUCAGACCCUACAGUUUUGUACUUACAACAGUCCCACAGUCCGCCAAGCAUGUUGAUAUUUCAUGGACAUGUUGACGAGGUACAUUAAGUGUAUGUUUUGGAAGCUAGAAAGACUUUUUUUUUUUUUUGGUUUUUUCAGAAAGCAAUUUUUCCCUAACUGAUGUUUGGUUACUUUUUAUUUUUAGGCUUAGUUUGAAAAACAGAAAAUACACAUGAAAAGCUAGUUUUGUAAACUAAAGUGAAAGUAGCGUUUGUCUCUUUUGCAAAUUGUAAACCAAACAUGCAUUAAGUCUUUAGAGGGAAUGUUAAUUGCUUAUCUGUACCAUAGCUGGGUUGUCCAUGGCAGCCACCCUGGCAUGGCAGAAUUCGAAGAAAAUGCUUUGGGACUUCCAUGAUGUGGUGAUGUUUACAGGGAGUUGCCAUGUGGCAUCCACUUUGAUUUAGUGGCCACCCUGGCAGAAUAUAGAAAAUUAGAUGUUAGCCACAGUGUGUUGUAAUUAAACAAUUGUAGAGAUUACCGAGGCUGAGGGUAUUUGUUACAUUUGAUAUUUCUAUGGUGAUUUAAAUUAAAAAAUCUGAGCCUUUCACUAUUUGUCACAUCGUGCCGUUGACAACCCUAUACUGUAGUUCUUCUUCCUUGGGCUGUCCAUUGUGGGAGCUCUCUUCAAAAUUUUGUAAGUUGUCCAAUCUAAUAUGGAUCCCCCCCCCUCCCAAAUCAAUAGAAUUCUUAAAUCAACAACAACUUGAAUCAUUAUAAAAUACUGAGUUUGUCAGUAAAUGUUGAGCCUGAAAAUUUUCAUUUUAUUAGAUUGGGCUGAUUCAAUUUUUCUAACUUGAAUUUAUGGCAAAUUGAUGCUUAACAUUCAGCACUGAACCUAUUCAUGAUGUUUUGUUGUAAAAAAAUUUAGUAAUAUCAUAUUAUCAUCAAAUGAUAAACAUUUUGAAGUUCUUCAUUCUUCUCAUGCAAACAGUCAAUUUACUGAUGCUAUUUGUAUGAUGCAUCCUUUUGAAGUAAAUUCAAAUUAUUAAGUUGAAUGAGGAGUGUGCGUGCGCAUUUUACUGAGUGUUUAUUCUUAAUCUGAUGGAAAAGGAAAUCUUAGAAAGUGGCAAUAAUGUUGAAAUUAUCCAUAA